rnacentral:rRNA from 1 species
UAUUGGUCAAUGGACGAGAGUCUGAACCAGCCAAGUAGCGUGAAGGAUGACUGCCCUAUGGGUUGUAAACUUCUUUUAUAUGGGAAUAAAGUGAGCCACGUUUGGCUUCUUUUAUGUACCAUAAGAAUAAGGAUUGGCUAACUCCGUGCCAGCAGCCGCGGUAAUACGGAGGAUCCGAGCGUUAUCCGGAUUUAUUGGGUUUAAAGGGAGCGUAGGCGGAUUAUUAAGUCAGUUGUGAAAGUUUGCGGCUCAACCGUAAAAUUGCAGUUGAUACUGGUAGUCUUGAGUGCAGCAGAGGUAGGCGGAAUUCGUGGUGUAGCGGUGAAAUGCUUAGAUAUCACGAAGAACUCCGAUUGCGAAGGCAGCUUACUGGACUGUAACUGACGCUGAUGCUCGAAAGUGUGGGUAUCAAACAGG